rnacentral:rRNA from 1 species
UCGGACGGGGGUUCAUAACGCGUGAGAAUCUGCCUUAGGGAUGGGGAUAACCACGGGAAACGGUGGCUAAUACCCGAUGAGCCGAAAGGUAAAAAGUUUAUUGCCCUUAGAAGAGCUUGCGUUCGAUUAGCUAGUUGGUGAGGUUAAAACUUCCCAAGGCCCCCAUCCGUAAGUGGUUUGAGAGGAUGAGCAAGCCCACUGGGAAUGAGACCCGGGCCCGAAUCCUUCGGGAGGCAGCCGUGGGGAAUUUUUCCCCAAGGGCGCAAACCUGACGGAACAAUACCGCGUGAGGGAGGAAGGCUUUUGGGUUGUAAACCUCUUUUUUUAGGGAAGAAGUUCUGACGGUACCUGAGGAAUAAGCAUCGGCUAACUCCGUGCCAGCAGCCGCGGUAAUACGGAGGAUGCAAGCGUUAUCCGGAAUUAUUGGGCGUAAAGCGUCCGCAGGUGGCAUUUCAAGUCGGCGGUCAAAGACCAAGGCUCAACCUUGGAAAGGCAGUGGAAACUGAAAAGCUAGAGUGCGGUAGGGGUAGGGGGAAUUCCCAGUGUAGCGGUGAAAUGCGUAGAGAUUGGGAAGAACACCGGUGGCGAAAGCGCCCUACUAGGCCGCAACUGACACUCAGGACGAAAAGUUAUAGAGGU